rnacentral:rRNA from 1 species
UACGUAGGGUGCGAGCGUUAAUCGGAAUACUGGGCGUAAAGCGUGCGCAGGCGGUUCGCUGUGUCCGAUGUGAAAGCCCCGGGCUUAACCUGGGAAUGGCAUUGGGAAACUGGCGGGCUUGAGUGUGGCAGAGGGGGGUGGAAUUCCGGCGUGUAGCAGUGAAAUGCGUAGAGAUGCGGAGGAACACCGAUGGCGAAGGCAGCCCCCUGGGCUAACACGUGACGCUCGAGGCACGAAAGCGUGGGAGCAACAGG